CUACGGGGCGCUGCAGUGGGGAAUCUUAGACAAUGGGGGAAACCCUGAUCUAGCCAUGCCGCGUGAGCGACGACGGCCCUAGGGUUGUAAAGCUCUUUCAGCAGGGAAGAUAAUGACGGUACCUGCAGAAGAAGUCCCGGCUAACUCCGUGCCAGCAGCCGCGGUAAUACGGAGGGGGACUAGCGUUGUUCGGAAUUACUGGGCGUAAAGCGCGCGUAGGCGGAUUGUUAAGUCGGGGGUGAAAUCCCGGGGCUCAACCCCGGAACUGCCCUCGAUACUGGCAGUCUUGAGUUCGAGAGAGGUGAGUGGAAUUCCGAGUGUAGAGGUGAAAUUCGUAGAUAUUCGGAGGAACACCAGUGGCGAAGGCGGCUCACUGGCUCGAUACUGACGCUGAGGUGCGAAAGCGUGGGGAGCAAACAGGAUUAGAUACCCGUGUAGUC
rnacentral:rRNA from 1 species